UGGUGGGUAGUUUGACUGGGGCGGUCUCCUCCUAAAGAGUAACGGAGGAGCACGAAGGUUGGCUAAUCCUGGUCGGACAUCAGGAGGUUAGUGCAAUGGCAUAAGCCAGCUUGACUGCGAGCGUGACGGCGCGAGCAGGUGCGAAAGCAGGUCAUAGUGAUCCGGUGGUUCUGAAUGGAAGGGCCAUCGCUCAACGGAUAAAAGGUACUCCGGGGAUAACAGGCUGAUACCGCCCAAGAGUUCAUAUCGACGGCGGUGUUUGGCACCUCGAUGUCGGCUCAUCACAUCCUGGGGCUGAAGUAGGUCCCAAGGGUAUGGCUGUUCGCCAUUUAAAGUGGUACGCGAGCUGGGUUUAGAACGUCGUGAGACAGUUCGGUCCCUAUCUGCCGUGGGCGCUGGAGAACUGAGGGGGGCUGCUCCUAGUACGAGAGGACCGGAGUGGACGCAUCACUGGUGUUCGGGUUGUCAUGCCAAUGGCACUGCCCGGUAGCUAAAUGCGGAAGAGAUAAGUGCUGAAAGCAUCUAAGCACGAAACUUGCCCCGAGAUGAGUUCUCCCUGACCCUUUAAGGGUCCUGAAGGAACGUUGAAGACGACGACGUUGAUAGGCCGGGUGUGUAAGCGCAGCGAUGCGUUGAGCUAACCGGUACUAAUGAACCGUGAGGCUUAACCUUACAAC
rnacentral:rRNA from 1 species